AAUUGGUCUUUGGUUGAAGCUUUGAAUGAGGAAUGAUUCUAGAAGAAGGGAUGGUCAAAUGAUGCAAGUCUGAAGAAGAAAAAAGAUUGGUGGACUCUCCAUUUUCAGGCAGCAUUCAGGUUGAGGGUUCUAGCACAGGCAAGGGCAAGGUGUAGCCUCAGGUUAAAAGGUUGCAUAGGAGUCAUUCUGCUGUUAGUAGUUAUUUAUUUUCAGUUGUGGAUAGAAACUUGUUACAGUUUGUUGUAAUGAUCUAGUGGUGGUUUCACUGCAACAUUUAGGAAUUUUUUUUAGUCGACUUGAAUUUAGGACCCAGAAAUUACCUUUUUGUUUGUUAUUUGGCAUUGGUUAAAUUUUGAAUUUGAGAUUGUUGCAAU